GAAGCACCUCAACCCAAGAACCACUGUUUCUCGUAGCAGUGAUUUAAACAGAGGUGCGGACAGCAAUUGGAUACCGUCGCCUUUGAGGAGCUAUGGCCGUGCCCCUGAAAGUGAAUUUGGAGAUUCUACACCC